rnacentral:rRNA from 1 species
AUACGGAGGAUCCGAGCGUUAUCCGGAUUUAUUGGGUUUAAAGGGUGCGCAGGCGGCCAUUUAAGUCAGCGGUUAAAUCGUGGGGCUCAACCCCAUUCUGCCGUUGAUACUGGGUGGCUUGAUUGCGGUCGAGGUUGGCGGAAUUCGUUGUGUAGGGGUAAAAUGCAUAGAUAUGACGAAGAACACCGAUUGCGUAGGCAGCUGACCAGGCCGCAAAUGACGCUCAUGCACGAAAGUGCGGGGAUCGAACAGGAUUAGAUACCCUGGUAGUCCGCACAGUAAACGAUGAAUACUUGUUUUCGGCGAUAUAAUGUCGGAGGCAAAGCGAAAGCGAUAAGUAUUCCACCUGGGGAGUACGCCGGCAACGGUGAAACUCAAAGGAAUUGACGGGG